AGUAACGCGUGGGUAACCUGCCCUAUACACAUGGAUAACAUACUGAAAAGUUUACUAAUACAUGAUAAUAUAUAUUUACGGCAUCGUAGAUAUAUCAAAGUGUUAGCGGUAUAGGAUGGACCCGCGUUUGAUUAGCUAGUUGGUGAGAUAACUGCCCACCAAGGCGACGAUCAGUAGCCGACCUGAGAGGGUGAUCGGCCACAUUGGAACUGAGACACGGUCCAAACUCCUACGGGAGGCAGCAGCA
rnacentral:rRNA from 1 species